AAGAGUAAGGGUCUUCUAGGCCCGACCUCCCAACCCUUUGUUUACCAAACCAUUGUUGCUUCGGCGGGCCCGUCCCAGGACCGCCGGAGGACCGUCAAACGUCCUCUGGCCCGCGCCCGUCGAUGGCCCCUAUCAUUAAACUCUGAACCAAACGUGUCCUGUCUGAGUGAUUAUUAUCAAAAAUUAAAGCA
rnacentral:misc_RNA from 2 species